AUAUAUAUUAAAAUUUUCGUUUCUUAUCUACAGUAAUGUGUUGUGCUUUAGGAUACUUUUAGUCCUUCUACUUUCAAAGUUUGUCUAUUCUUUAAUUUUCUUUUCUUUUGUAAGAUUCUUCGUGUUAUCCCUGUACUUACUUUUCUUUGUUAUUCCCUUAUUUUAUGCAUUUUCCUUUUCUUAACGUCUACCGGUCACUUCUCUCUACGUGGCCUUUUCUCAUUUCCUUUAUGAUGCACGUGUUAUGCUUCCUAAUUUCUUUCUUCUUUCUUCUCCACCGUUCUUCCUUUUUUGUUCUUACUUCUUUCUUCCAAAAGGUAAAUUUUGUCUCUUCUGUUGUCUUUCUUCUUUAGUAUCUGUUGUCUUUCGUUGUUUUCUGAGUUUUUUUUGUCACUUUUUUUUGAUCGAUUUAUUAUGGCCCCUCGACCGAAACGGCUAUCUUCACCUGGUGCUUCAUCCUCUGUUCCAAGAACUCGCAGGUCGCGUCAUUCUCUCUUCUUUGUUGGCCUUCCUGACUAUGUUGAUUCGGGUGACUGUACGUGUGUUUGCGAAUUUUGUGGCGCCUAUUUCUGGUAUGUUGAAAGGGCGCUCAAACUUUCUACGCCUGCUCAUCCGAAGUAUUAUCAUUGUUGUCGGGAUGGUGAUGUCGUUCUUCCUUAUCCUUCGAGGUUUCAUCCUGAAUUUCUUGAUUUGUAUCAAAAUGCUACAUUUUUGAAAGACAUUAUCGCAUAUAAUAGCAUGUUCUCUAUGACUUCAUUUGGGGCGAAUAUAGAUAAGUCUGUCAAUGACAAUCGGGGCCCUUAUGUUUUCAAGAUAUCUGGUCAAAUUUCUCAUAGGAUAGGAUCGUUGUCCCCGGAUCCUACAAAGGGCCCUAGAUUUCUGCAGCUUUAUCUUUUUGAUACAGAGAAUGAGGUUCGGAAUAGAUUGAGGGCUUUUGGAGGUCCGACGGGAACGGCUUUAGAUCCUAAUAUUGUGCAGUAUUUGGUUACAUUCUUAGGGGCUAACAACGAGUAUGUAAAAACGUUUAAAACAGCAAAGACCAUGGCUGAGGAAAAUAAUUUAGAAAAUUAUAGUGUACGGCUGUUUAACAACGUUGUUGAUCGUAGGUAUGAAUUCCCUUCCCCUGGAUCCUUGGGAUGUAUAGUAACUGGUGAUGACACUACCAGUAUGACAUAUGACAUUGUUGUAUUUUCGCAUUCGGGUCGGCCUCAACGCAUUAGUAAAUUGCAUCCCUCUUAUAUGCCUUUACAAUAUCCACUUUUGUUUCCUUAUGGUGAGGAGGGGUGGUCACCCCGUUUGAAGAUGCGUAAUCAGAGGGGAGUAAGUGCAAAAAGUCUCACUGUCAAUAUGUAUUACGCGUACCAUAUACAUGCCCGACAUCAGAUUUGGUCUCCAAUUGUAAAUGCCACUAGGCUUUUCCAGCAAUAUUUAGUUGAUGCAUAUACGUGUAUAGAGGAAGGCCGAUUGGAUUAUAUAACCAAACAUCAAUCAAACUUACGUUCCGAUUAUGUGAGUGGGCUUUAUGAUGCGCUAUCAAAGGGGGACCGGGAAGCACGUGUUGUUGGUAAGCGUGUUUUUUUGCCCGCAUCAUUCACUGGUGGUCCCCGGUUUAUGUAUAGCCAUUAUCAGGAUGCGCUUACGAUCUGUAGAGUUUAUGGCAAUCCACAAUAUUUUAUCACUUUCACAUGUAAUGUGAAGUGGCCAGAGAUUACCCGCUAUAUGGAGACACAUUCACAGAGAGAUGUACACAGUAGAGCGGAUAUCAUAGCCAGAAUGUUCCAUGUGAAAGUCCAUGAGUUUAUCGAUUUCCUUAAGAAGGACAAAACCUUUGGCGAUGUUGAUGCAUAUUUAUAUACUAUCGAAUUCCAAAAAAGGGGUCUACCGCACUGUCAUACUUUGCUGUGGGUAAAGGCGGCUGACCGAAUAAAAAACGCAUCCGAUGUCGAUAUGUACAUAACAGCUGAGAUGCCAGAUCCAACAACAGAUCCGGCACUAUAUCAGACAAUCACAAGCUGCAUGAUUCAUGGACCAUGUGGACCACUAAAUCCAAAAGCUCAGUGUAUGAAGGACGGUAAAUGUAGUAAAGGUUAUCCUAAACCUUUUCUUCAUGCUACAUUGUUCGAUACUGAGGGAUACGUUCGGUAUAAACGAAACCCAAAUUCACACCAUAUGACCCUAUCCGGACAGGUUAUAGAUAACGGAUACGUUGUUCCGUACAACAGAAGGCUUUCCUCACGAUUUCAGGCACACAUCAACGUCGAGUACUGCGGAUGGAAUAUGAUGAUUAAAUAUCUCUUCAAAUAUAUUUCUAAAGGGGCAGACCGCGUCAGAUAUGCAAUCCAAAAGGCAGAAUCGCCCCGCGCGUCCACUUCCGUCACAGUGGAUAGCCAUCAUAACACACGUGGAGGUUCAGCGGUUACUCCUGUGAACGAGGUGCAGAAUUUUCUAGAUGGUCGCUAUAUCUGUCCCCACGAAGCAGCCUGGCGUAUCCUAAACUUUCACAUACAUCAUCGGUACCCGCCAGUUCAGAUCCUGUCUGUACAUGAGGAGAACAUGCAGCAAUUAUUAUUCAAGGAGGACAGCACAAUACCUCAAGUGCUGUCAAACCCAUUCAGCUCUGUCACCACACUUCUAGGCUGGUUUCGCAACAACAGGAGGGAUCCAAGUGGACAUGAACUUACAUAUCUAGAAUAUCCAAAGUCUUACAAAUGGGACAAGUCAUCUAAAUCCUGGGAGCCUAGGGUUGAUGACUCCUCAAAGGUGCUUGGCCGACUUGUCUUUGUUCAUCCAACAUCUGGCGAGUUAUUUUACCUACGAAUGCUACUCUGUCACCAAAAGGGUUGCACAUCUUUUGAAGACCUGCGGACCGUUUCUGGCACCAUUUAUCCUACGUAUAGGGCUGCAUGCAAUGCAUUAAAAUUGAUUGGUGAUGAUACGGAAUGGUUAUCUGCAUUCACAGAGGCAUCAAUAUGGGCGACCUCUGCACAACUUCGUUCCCUUUUCUGUCAACUAUUGCUUUUUUGCGAAGUUAGCAGUCCACAAUUGCUUUGGGAAUGCGCAUGCGAUAAGAUGAAAGAUGACUACCUAUAUUCCAUAAAAAGAGAAAUGCCAGAUAGGGGACUUAAUUCUGUUGCAGACAUAGUACAUCAGCAACUGCUCAGCGAUCUCGAUCACACCUUACGCUCUUCCGUACCACCUAAGUCAAUGGCGGCAUUUGGUCUUCCAGUCCCUUCAAAUGAUAUACAUGGUAUUUUGCAGAAUCGUCUUCUACUUGAAGAAAUGAGUUACGACAAAGAAGCUCUACAAAGAGAACAUGAUAAUAUGCUGCCAAUGCUAAAUUCUGAACAGUUGUCAGUUUACAAUUCUGUCAUCUCUUCAAUUAAAAACAAUGAACAAAUACUGGUCUUUGUAUAUGGACAUGGGGGUACUGGAAAAACCUUCCUUUGGAGAACAAUUAUCUCCCAUAUUAGAUCCAAAGGGAAAAUUGUGCUGGCCGUUGCUGCUUCUGGAAUCGCGUCCCUUUUAUUACCUUCUGGGAAAACGGCGCAUUCAAGGUUCAAAAUUCCUAUUGACCUAACAGAUAAGAAAUCAUGUGACAUAAAAAAGAGAACAUCCCUUGCCGAUCUUUUACAGCGUACAUCACUCAUCAUUUGGGAUGAGGCACCAAUGAGUGACAGAAGAUGCUUUGAGUUUCUUGACCGCUCUCUUAGAGAUGUCUUAGAUUGUAAUGAAAAGUUGUUUGGAGGCAUAUCAGUUCUACUAGGUGGUGAUUUCCGCCAAACCCUCCCAGUCCUACCAAGAUCAACACGUUCGGAAAUCAUAGCCUCAACACUUCCAUGUUCAUACCUGUGGCGGUCUUUCACUGUUCACAUCCUACACACGAACAUGAGAGUUAAUUCUUCUGAAAGACCCACCGGUUGUUCAAUGUCCACGUCGGCUUUCACAGGUUGGUUGCUUCGUAUUGGAAAUGGACAGAUGGGGAUGCCUGACAAUGACGACCCUCAGGACACAAGUUGGUUAGAAAUCCCUGACUCUCUUCUAAUAAAACCCGGAAAUGACUCCCUAAAUUCAUUAAUAAAUUUUGUAUAUGGAGAUGGUGUCCUUAAUAAUCCGACUGCGGUUGACCUUUCGGCAAGAGCUAUAGUUACGCCGACAAAUGAUGUUGCAGACAACAUAAAUACAACGGUUUUGGGGAUGGUGUCAUCGGAGGAGAGAACCUAUAAGAGUAUAGACAUUAUCCAACCAAUCGGCAAGCAUACAUCGGAUUUUGAGGGCCUGUAUCCAACCGAAUACCUAAACCAACUCAAUUUCCCUGGAAUACCACCUCACGAACUUACACUAAAACUCCAUUGUCCCAUAAUGUUGCUAAGAAACAUAAACCAAAGAGAGGGUUUAUGUAAUGGUACACGACUUAUAGUGUCGCAGUUGCUAACAAACAUAAUUGAAGCAACAAUCAUGACUGGCACCUUCAUUGGCAAGCGCGUUUACAUCCCCCGUAUAAAGUUUAUACAUAAGUCAACAGAUAUGCCAUUUACUUUCUCACGAAAACAAUUUCCACUGAAAGUCUGCUACGUGAUGACUAUCAACAAAAGCCAAGGACAGUCACUACGUAGAAUUGGUGUAUAUUUAGCACAACCUGUUUUCUCACACGGUCAACUCUAUGUUGCCCUGUCACGAGCAACAUCAUCAGAUUCCAUAAAAAUAUUGAUAGAAAAUACAAACCCAAUUCACCUGAAUCGAACAAAAAAUGUUGUUUUCAGAGAUCUAUUGGAGAAAGUUAAUUCACCUCAGGUCCAUAGUAUCACUACCAAUCCCCUUUCCAACAUUAUCAUACCUUUCAUAGAGCGCUAUCUAAAUAUAUGUUUUUAUUUUUUUUUAUUUUAUUUUUUGUUUACUGAGUGACAAGUUUCAAACCUUCUUAUACUGUUCAUAAAACAUUAUCUAAAAUUUUUUUAUACUUUUAUUAUAUGUAUCUUUAAUUAUAUUUAUUUUUACAUACCUGUACAGUAUGCUUGCAGCAUAUCCUACAUUUAUAUCCGAACAUGACACUCAUUUUGAUAUGUUUAUUCGACAUACAAAAUACAGCCGACCAAUGAGUAGCAUUUCUGAGCUAAAGACGGAUGGUAUUGGAGGCCCAUUACAAGUUAGAAUAGUACGUAAAUGGAGACACGACGUAAGGCGCUAUGAAACCUGGUAUCUGGCUGUCGACAGAUUUGGUGAUGCCAUACAGAUUCUUGGUCAACGAACUAACCAGAGCUACAUCGAAUCUGUUCUCAACCUUUCGCACUGCUAUACCAUCUCGGAUUAUAGCUGCCCCAUGUUAGACAAGUAUCAGAAAUUCCUACAAAAUGACUUUUAUAUUGAUGUCGGCCUUAUGUCUGUGAUAGAACAGAUUCCGGACACACUGACAAUACCGAAAAACUGGUUUCACUUUCUCUCAAAGCGACAACUCAUAGACCUUGGAGACACACCAUCUUAUUACCCAGACUACAUUGGUGUCCUCUCAAAAAUCAGAGACUGCGUGAAAGUGGGUGGUGAGUCAUAUGUAUUGCUGAUUUUAACUGAUGAAAGUGGUAGUGAACUCGCGAUCAAUUUAUGGAAAGAGUGCAUAACCAAUCCACAGAAAUUCGAUCGCAACUCCUUGCAGCCACCGCCAGCAACAACAGUUGUCGCUGUCACCAACUUAAAGCCUUCCAUAUCUAACGGGGCUCUGCGUCACGGUUCAUCACAUGCUACCCAUGUCUAUGUCAACCCAGACAUACCAGAAACAACAUCACUUAUAAACCUGUAAGGCACCCAUACAAACAUUACACAUCAUGUCCAGUAAAUUAACAACUGUAUACUAAUAACAACAUCCUGUCAGA